UACGUAGGGGGCUAGCGUUGUCCGGAAUCAUUGGGCGUAAAGAGCGUGUAGGCGGUCCGGUAAGUCCGCUGUGAAAGUCGGGGGCUCAACCCUCGAAUGCCGGUGGAUACUGUCGGGCUAGAGUGCGGAAGAGGCGAGUGGAAUUCCUGGUGUAGCGGUGAAAUGCGCAGAUAUCGGGAGGAACACCAGUGGCGAAGGCGGCUUCCUGGACCGGUUCUGACACUGAGGAGCGAAAGCGUGGGGAGCGAUCCGG
rnacentral:rRNA from 1 species